GAUGAACGCUGGCGGCGUGCUUAACACAUGCAAGUCGAACGGUGAAGCAGAGCUUGCUCUGUGGAUCAGUGGCGAACGGGUGAGUAACACGUGAGCAACCUGCCCAGGACUCUGGGAUAAGCGCUGGAAACGGCGGCUACUACCGGAUACGAGAUUCAACCGCAUGGUGAGUUUCUGGAAAGAUUUUUUGGUCUGGGAUGGGCUCACGGCCUAUCAGCUUGUUGGUGAGGUAAUGGCUCACCAAGGCGUCGACGGGUAGCCGGCCUGAGAGGGUGACCGGCCACACUGGGACUGAGACACGGCCCAGACUCCUACGGGAGGCAGCAGUGGGGAAUAUUGCACAAUGGGCGGAAGCCUGAUGCAGCAACGCCGCGUGAGGGAUGACGGCCUUCGGGUUGUAAACCUCUUUUAGCAGGGAAGAAGCGAAAGUGACGGUACCUGCAGAAAAAGCGCCGGCUAACUACGUGCCAGCCGCCGCGGUAAAAC
rnacentral:rRNA from 1 species